UUUUUUUUUUUUUUCUUUAAAAAAGAGGCAAUAUCAGAUAAGCGGAAGUUACGGGCACAAACAGUACUGUGUACUUAAAUAAAAUCAACAAACUGUAUUUAACUUUUCCCCCCUUUCAAAAUGCAAGAGUCUAAAGCAAAUAUAAACCCAAAAUAGUCAAUAUUAAAUCAGUCAACAGAUCGAUGUGAUUUGGAGGUUUCAGAGUUCAGUAACACAAACACGCAAAAUACUUUGAUGUUCUUAGGAUCAAAACAAAAAUGUAAGUUAUAGUUGUCAUGUAAAGAGGACUGUAAAAUCUGGUAAGCAGGUUAUGGUCAGGCUACGCUUCAACUUCUUUUGGUUUAAAGUCAACUGCAGGUUUUAGAAUUUGAAGUCGCGAGCCCCAAUAUUACAAAAUCUGAAAUCAGUUUGUAACGUGACGUUGCUUGACAUGAGGAUUUUUGAUGCAAAAGGAGGCCCAGGUGAAACAGACGUAGUUAAUCAUUAAAUUAAAAAAGAAAGGGAUUCUGAUUUAGAUCUAAUAGAAAUGUUAUUCUGGCAGAAGCACAUUGCUUCUAUGUGAUUCCAGAAAGCAGACCUCAUGGGGCAUUACCCAUUCCCUUGCAAAGAGGAGACACCUUUUUCAACCUCAGCCCUCUUUUGCUCUCUAGCAUUAACAUCAGACAGUCCUUCCGAGGCCCACAUUUUUCAUGCAUUCCAAAGUUAUCUAUAAAAUACCAGUACUUACAGAAUGUCCUGAACAGUAUGUGGCACAGAGUAGAUAAUAAAUAUUGCCAAACGGGUAACUGGUUGCACUAAACACUAUGGGGAACGUGAAGCUGAAUUGUGCUACAGGCCCUGCUUUCUAGAAAGUCGGGCAAGGAAGGUAAGCUCCGUUCAUGAACAGAGAAUGCAAAGGAAAAAGGGAGUAAAUCCCACGGCAGAUGAACAGGAAAAGAUGCUUUCACUGCAGGGAGGGAGGGAAGGAUGCUUCUAGCUGGGAAGAGAAAGGAAAUACCUCACUGACACAUUCACCUUGGUCUGGAAGAAAAGGAAUAGUUUGGGGAUAUGGAAAUGGGAUCGCAUCUUUGUUGCAUCAGGGUUGCAUCCCCAGAGCCGAGCACAAGGGCUAGUGCAUAGUUAAGUACUCACUAAAUAUAAGUGGAAGGAAUCAAAGGGACACAAGCCCAGUUCCCAUAAAACAAGGCCCAGGGAAGAAGGAUGGCCAAAGGCAGACCAAGCGAAAGGGUUGUGUUGGGUUGUUGGGUUGGGUCCCAAGGAAUGUGAAAAGGGGUCGAAGAAGGUAAAUCUGCAAAUAUAGCUGGGACAGAGGGUGAAGAAUCUCAAAUGAAAGGCUCAGGUAUCUUUAUCUAAGGACAGGGACAACAGGACAUGUUUCAUGAUGCGCCCAGAUGUAGUAGAUACAGUAGUCAUAACCCACGCCAGCCACAAGGAAAGGAACAGACUCUACAAUUCAUCCAAUGGACAUGCUGACCAACAUAACUGUUUUCCUCUCUCUUCUCUUGAAGGAGAAUAUGGCUGGGACAAGUCACCAUUCACUAUUUGGAUUUCAGGUAAGCUGAAAUUUACUGAACGUGGACUCUAGUUUUAUGAGAUUUCUGUUGCUGUUUUUAUAAUAUGGACUCCACCCCUAAAACAGGUAAACAGUCUGUUUUUCUAUAUACAAGUAAAGACUUUCCAUGGAGACACCAAUGUUCAAACACAAAAGGACCCCAGGCUUAUUUAUCCCUUUGAUUGCCAGAGAAACAGGACUUACUUCGCGUGGCUCCUACGAGUGAAAGGAAAACCCAUCCCUUCAAAAACCCGGGAGACCGUUCUCCAGAUCUCUUGUUUACUUUCAAGUUUCUCCUGAACUCACACUGCAAUCUAUCAGAAUGUUCCUACAAGAAUAUCUAGACACCGCUUAGCACGGCUUCACAGCUCUGGUCCUAAAAUGAAGUGGGAAGGCCACACUUUUAUUAAAACACUUGCAACAAACAAACGAACUGCUUGCUCAUUUAUAGGAAAUGGGGGAGGGAGUGGGGGGAGCAAAGGGCACACGGUCUGCUUUUCAUUUUACACCUGGCUCACAUCCAGAACAGGCUGAAUGAAGAGCUCUGCCCAGGAAUAAACUGCAUCCAGUUUUGUUGUCACAUGUGCCAACCUGCACGGAUGCAGUGGGGGGCAGAGAUUGGGGGCCUCCCUGAGGAGGGAAAACACUCUGGCUUCGCCAGAUGCUGAAGUCUAUUGCUUUGGGCCACGCUGAACCCCUCCCUGUAAUUUCCCACAAGUAUGUAUGUUCAAAGAGCAGGAAAUAAAAGGAUCCAUCAAUUGCACCAUAAACUUGCCCUCUAAAGUCUCAGCACUCUACAUUUCAAAGUCCUUUAUCAUAAACCCUGAUCAGCACAUGUCUCAGGCACUAAUGCUUACCUACUGGUGCCAUCACCUUGGGGAUCUCUGAAAAAGUGAAAACAAGGAAUGAGGGAGGUUAUGCUGACGGGGAGGGGCUGGGUACAGACCCGAUAAACAGGCCGCAGAGGCCCGGAAAACCUUCAAGGGAAAGUCUGAAGUUCACAUCUGUUUAUCUUUGUUCAAGGGUGUGAGAGUGUGUGUGUGUGUGUGUGUGUGUGUGUGUUUGUACGUGUGUCUGUGUUUCUGUGUGUACGUACAGAAAAUUUAGCUCCUGAGCCAAUGGUACAGAUAUUUAACAGCCAUCCCUGAGUGAGACUGGUCCUUCACUGCAGCCACUUUGAGGUCUGCACAGCUAUGCCAAUCAUGCAGCCAUUGUUGGAAGCAUUUCUGGAAUGCUUCCUCAAGUUCUCAUUUCUUUCUGGCGAUGGCCUUCUCAGCCUUGGGCAUAUUCUUUGGAAUGGUCUCUAGAGCAGCCAGUCUCAGCCCUCUGAGGGCACCUUUGAUCCUUGGGGAUGGCCAAAAAGCCUUGAGAGCCAAAUAUGGUGAAAGAAGGGGCUGAUCAAGCCAGGUAACGGUUCCCCAGUGAGGCCUUAUGGAAAGCCAAAGACCCCAAAACUAAAGUUCCCAAAACACAGCUGUUCACAAUUGCCCUGCUGAGUUUUGAUGGAAAUGAACCCUGAGGACAUUAUAGACAGACCUCAGUGGAUGUUCAUGGGACUAAAGUUCAUUUGCCUUGAUCCCAGCCUCUCCAGAACUGCAGUCAAGAAGGGUGAUCUUCACCAAAGCAACUCACUUGAAGAAAGGCCAACAUGUAUAUCAGACAUUUUGAGAGCAUGUUUUUAAAAAACCAAUACCCGUACUGGGCUCCCACAGUCAGUCAAUUCAAGAAAUAUCUGUGACAAAUGAGAAGGCAGUGAUAAGGACUGUAACAAGCACUACAAGGGAAGACACCGGUAUAGGUAUGUUCGAUGCUCUUUAUAUAUACAACCCGGACUGACUCACACCAACCAUAGGAGGCAAAUAUUUCAACGAUGUUUUACAAAUACAAAUACAAAAACUCAUUUGUAACACCCAUGAAGUGGAAACAAAAGAAGCAAAAUAUUUCCUCGGAUUAGAGCUGGGCAAAUAUCAAAUGGUGAUGUUCCUAGGAUACAUCCUCUCUGGUUACCUCACUGGGGAGUAACUCCUGGACCCAGAAAGACGCUGCACCUGUCACGAGAUUUAGCAGCAGGAAAUUACUUUUUGACAAAAUUUCAUCACCACACCAGCAUCUCUUGUCCCCUUCCGUGUGUCUUUGUGUAAGAUAAAACCCACCUAAUCCUAUUGCCAGUAAUGAAAAAUGUAAUUUUUAAAGCAUUAUCAAAUAAGUCAACACUUGGGCGAUGCUACUUGAGACCUAUGGAUUACUGCAUUAUUGCAUCCAAUAGGAAUUUACAUCUUCUGGCCUCGACCCACUUAAACUAUGCCUACGGAGAGCUGAAAAACAGAGAAAGCUUCUGCUCCCUUUCACACUCAGCCUAUUGACCAGGCUGCGCUAUAAAGCAGCUGAGAACAGCAUAAGGUUAUGAUAUGUGUACAAUGAAGGAUCCAUAUCCUUUCAACAAUGAAGUUUUGGCCCAACCCAUCGACUAACAUAUUUAUCUUGUAUUCAAAUGGCUCGAAACCUGCCAAUUUGUUGAGUCAAGUGCAACACAGUUAUAAAUACCUAGUCAAACCAUUACCAGCAGUUUCUACUUCUACUA
rnacentral:lncRNA from 1 species